rnacentral:sRNA from 1 species
GCAUUGCGCAUGCGCGCUUCCUUGCGCGAGCCGGGCUGUUGGGUGUGUUUUGCUUUCCAGUCUCCGUCGUCUGUGCAGCACCCCGGGUUCUCCUCCAGAGCGCUAGUCCCAGGAGCUCGGAAUGUUCGUGGAACUUAAUAACCUGCUUAACACUACCCCCGACAGGGCGGAGCAGGGGAAACUGACUUUACUCUGUGAUGCCAAGACAGAUGGGAGUUUCCUUGUACACCACUUUCUCUCCUUCUACCUCAAAGCUAAUUGUAAAGUCUGCUUUGUGGCCCUCAUCCAGUCCUUCAGCCACUACAGUAUCGUGGGACAGAAGCUGGUAAAUAUUUUGGAGCUCCAUGGUGAGGUCCCUGAGUGAGUGUGUGUGUCACACAUGGUCUAAAGCUUGGCUUUCCUGUUUGCAUUGUACAGAACUUAGCAAAAGACGGACUAAAGAAAUAUUGGGCCGGGCGCAGUGGCUCACACCUGUAAUCCCAGCACUUUGGGAGGCCAAGAUGGGCAGAUCACGAGGUCAAGAGAUGGAGACCAUUCUGGCCAACAUGGUGAA